rnacentral:tRNA from 1 species
GCGUCUGUAGCUCAGUUGGAUAGAGCAGUGGCCUUCGAAGUCAUGUGUCAGGGGUUCAAGUCCCUUCAGGCGCA